rnacentral:misc_RNA from 1 species
CUGAGUAACGAGGUCUCCGGACCCGCUACCCGCCCAAUGUCAUUUGUUGGACGAGGUCGCCUUUCGGGGCGGCCUCCGACGUCACUUCCCGGGAAGCGUUGCGCCCCCACCAGGUUCUGUCCUGGGGGCAAGACCGCCCGGGGUCUUUUUCAAACACACUGCAAGAAUCUGAAGUCUGAAGUAACAUAAAAUGAAGCA